AUUGAACGCUGGCGGCAUGCUUUACACAUGCAAGUCGAACGGUAACAGGUUAAGCUGACGAGUGGCGAACGGGUGAGUAAUGCAUCGGAACGUGCCCGAUCGUGGGGGAUAACGCAGCGAAAGCUGCGCUAAUACCGCAUACGAUCUGAGGAUGAAAGCGGGGGACCGUAAGGCCUCGCGCGAUCGGAGCGGCCGAUGUCAGAUUAGGUAGUUGGUGGGGUAAAGGCCCACCAAGCCGACGAUCUGUAGCUGGUCUGAGAGGACGACCAGCCACAAUGGGACUGAGACACGGCCCAGACUCCUACGGGAGUGAGCAGUGGGGAAUUUUGGACAAUGGGCGAAAGCCUGAUCCAGCAAUGCCGCGUGCAGGAAGAAGGCCUUCGGGUUGUAAACUGCUUUUGUACGGAGCGAAAAGGUCCUUUCUAAUACAAGGGGCUCAUGACGGUACCGUAAGAAUAAGCACCGGCUAACUACGUGCCAGCCGCCGCCGUAA
rnacentral:rRNA from 1 species